GGCCCUGUGGCCUAAUGCACAAGGCGUCGGUCUCCUAAACCGAAGAUUCAAUUUUCGAGUCCUUGCAGGUCGA
rnacentral:tRNA from 1 species